rnacentral:lncRNA from 1 species
AGGCACUCGGGGUCUCCCUCCUCCAGGGUUUCCUGAAACAGGAUGCAUUCAGCCCUUGUAGAGUUGCUGGGGAAGUGGAAGGAAAACAGAGGUGACUCUUGAAGCCCCAGGAGCUGACCUUAGAUCUUGACACUCCUGGUGUGUGCAAAGGUCUGAGGAGACGGCCAGAUUGAGGUAAAGCAGUAAAAAUCCGUGCUUGUCAGGAAAGUAGCAAGAGCCGAGUUCUACACUAACCAUUGGCUGGCCUGGGGCAGCCUGCAGCUGCACAACUGCCUCGUACAAUGGCAUGGACAAGCAGUGUCGGUGACGUAGCAGGCCGCUGGGGACCUGGGAGACAUCCUGCUGCUGCAGGAGUCCUGUGCAGAGCAGAGGAGAGAGCAGUUUGGCAAGUGCAGGGGUCCCACUCUUCUUUUGGUUGGUGGCAGGGAGCAGGUGGGGCCUAACCUGGGUGGACAGUGUCUACCUCCCUUCUGUGCAUUUUGCAUUGGCCUUAAUUGGUUCUCCCGGGAUAGUCACGAAAGCCCGACCUUUGUUCCAGGUAAAGUGCUGCAUGUUUCAUGUGUACAGCUCAUUUAAUCUUCACAGGACCUUAUGAAGUAGUUAUUAUAUCUAUUAUCAUCACAGAAAAGAACACUGAGCCUCAGAGAGGUCAAGCAAUUGGCCCAAGAUCACACAGCCUGCAAGAAACAGAGAUGGGACUCAGACCCUGGUCUAUUUGGCUCCCAUGUGCCUUACUACUAUGUUAUACCCACCCCUCCAGGUCUCCUUCUAGGUCACCAGCUGGGAUGGGAGGCCAACUCUCCAAAUCAGAAGAGGCUUUAUUGAAAA